CACUGUAGCUCAGCAGGUAGAGCAGCUCACUCGUAAUGAGCAGGUCAGCGGUUCGAAUCCGCUCAGUG
rnacentral:tRNA from 1 species